GACGAACGCUGGCGGCGUGCUUAACACAUGCAAGUCGAGCGGUAAGGCCCUUUCGGGGGUACGACGAGCGGCGAACGGGUGAGUAACACGUGGGUGACCUGCCUUUAGCUCUGGGAUAAGCCUGGGAAACUGGGUCUAAUACCGGAUAUGACCCUAUGGCGCAUGUUGUGGGGUGGAAAGCCUUGUGCGGCUAGGGAUGGGCCCGCGGCCUAUCAGCUUGUUGGUGGGGUGAUGGCCUACCAAGGCGACGACGGGUAGCCGGCCUGAGAGGGCGACCGGCCACACUGGGACUGAGACACGGCCCAGACUCCUACGGGAGGCAGCAGUGGGGAAUCUUGCGCAAUGGGCGAAAGCCUGACGCAGCGACGCCGCGUGAGGGAUGACGGCCUC
rnacentral:rRNA from 1 species